rnacentral:lncRNA from 1 species
AUGCAUGUCCUGAUUCCGCCACUAGAGGUCACUGUCCCACCACAAUCUCCCCACGCCGAGUUCCACCUCCCUUCCCUCUUAACUCAAAUUAGCACGGUAUUAAUUAACACUGUAGUCUAUCAACCGGCGUUCCUCGGCACACUGCAAAGGCAGGGUUUGUGUAGAACAAAGAAAACAACAACAAACACUAACGUUCAUUUUAUUUUCCAAGGGCCACCAAACAAAUCCUUCGUCAUCCCUCACAAACCGGAAGGCGGACGUCCAAGAAUCAGACAUCUGGAGAUAAUGAUACGGCAUGACAAUCACACAAAAAAGACCGGGGGCAGCAGCAGCAGCAAGCCAGCCAACGAGACCUGCAGCUCCUCGUGCCCAGCUCUGGGGACCUUGAGAAACCGUGGAUCUGCCAGGUUGUUUCCUUCCCCUGCCACGCCACCCCCAAACCCGCAAGAUAUUUGCUGCCACCAUUUGGUUAAAAUAAGAAUUCUUAAAACGCUCUGUGAUGCAUAA